rnacentral:rRNA from 1 species
GGGCCCGCACAAGCGGUGGAGCAUGUGGUUUAAUUCGAUGAUACGCGAGGAACCUUACCAGGGCUUAAAUGUAAGUUGCAUAGAUCAGAGAUGGUCUUUUCUUCGGACUACUUACAAGGUGCUGCAUGGUUGUCGUCAGCUCGUGCCGUGAGGUGUCAGGUUAAGUCCUAUAACGAGCGCAACCCCUGUCGUUAGUUACCAGCAAGUAAUGUUGGGUACUCUAGCGAGACUGCCGGUGCAAACCGUGAGGAAGGUGGGGAUGACGUCAAAUCAUCACGGCCCUUACGUCCUGGGCUACACACGUGCUACAAUGGCCGGUACAGAGAGCAGCCACUACGCGAGUAGGAGCGAAUCUUCAAAGCCGGUCUCAGUUCGGAUCGCAGUCUGCAACUCGACUGCGUGAAGCUGGAAUCGCUAG